rnacentral:misc_RNA from 1 species
AACGCACAUUGCGCCCGCCAGCACUCUGGCGGGCAUGCCUGUCCGAGCGUCAUUUCGACCCUCAGGUCCCCCCUCGGAAGGGGGGGGGAACCUGGCGUUGGGGGACGGCACCCGCGGGCCAGCCGGCCCGCCGCCGCCCCCGAAAUGCAGUGGCGGCCACGCCGCAGCGACCUCCGCGUAGUAGCAAAACACCUCGCGGCAAGGGAGCGCGGCGCGGCCACGCCGUGAAAUCGACGCCCGCAACUCGCGGAUCACGACAACCCCCCUAGACGUUGACCUCGGAUCAGGUAGGAAUACCCGCUGAACUUAA